GGAGUUAGCCGGUGCUUCUUCUGUGAGUGAUGUCCUUCCUGCCGGCUAUUAACCCGCAGGCCUUCUUCCUCACUGAAAGUGCUUUACAACCCGAAGGCCUUCUUCACACACGCGGCAUGGCUGGAUCAGGGUUGCCCCCAUUGUCCAAUAUUCCCCACUGCUGCCUCCCGUAGGAGUCUGGGCCGUGUCUCAGUCCCAGUGUGGCUGAUCAUCCUCUCAGACCAGCUACGGAUCGUCGCCUUGGUGAGCCGUUACCUCACCAACCAGCUAAUCCGACAUAGGCUCAUCCGAUAGCGCGAGGCCCGAAGGUCCCCCGCUUUCCCCCGUAGGGCGUAUGUGGUAUUAGCCUGGGUUUCCCCAGGUUAUCCCCCACUACCGGGCAGAUUCCUAUGCAUUACUCACCCGUCCGCCGCUCGCCACCAGGGAGCAAGCUCCCCGUGCUGCCGCUCGACUUGCAUGUGUUAGGCCUGCCGCCAGCGUUCAAUCUGAACCAGAUCAAAUUCUGA
rnacentral:rRNA from 1 species